rnacentral:lncRNA from 10 species
GCCCGGCCUCCUCCUCACUCACCGAGCCGCCGGAAUAAAGUUGGAAGUGUUUGCGCUGUACUUUAAUCAGCAUUUAAUGACCCAGUCGAAAAUUCAUCGUUUGGACCCAAGCACUGGUGGGAAAGGCAGGAGGGGAGGCCUGCCUUCCUCUCUCCCUCCCGAGUCCUACAGCAGGCCAUGGAGUGCCAUGCCUGAACUGGACACCCUUCCAUACCAACCCAGGAAAAAGUGAUUCAGCUCCGGUCCACCCUGGGUGCAGCAGUCCUUCUGCCAAGAUGCCUUCAUGUCAUACAGCUAUUAUUUUUGGGAGGAUUCAAGUGAGGGCAGUCAGGGUAAGUGCCUCUCACCAGCUUCCUGCUCAGACCAUUGCUCCAC